UUUUUUUUUUGUAAUAUUAAAGUGAUAUAACAAACAUAUCAACAAAUUUUUAUUAGGCAGAUCACACGCACCUUUUGUUUGUUCUGGUAUUUCUAUCCAAUAUGCUAAUCUAGCUAUUAAUUUGUUUCAGUGUUUAAACAUAGCUACUAAUAAUUCCCUUUAAUCAAAAAGUCACUAAAACUUGCUAUUUUAAUAAAUAUUAUUAUCAGUUUUCAAUUUUGUUAUCUUAUGUACAUAUUAUAAUUAUUAUCACAUCAUUUGUAUUUGUCAACAUAUUUAGAUAGCAUUGAAUAAUGCUAAUAUAUCUUUGGUAAAUAUGUUAACGAAAUAAAAUUAAUAAUAAAUCAAGAAUUUUCAAACCUUACAAAGUAUAAUUUGAUGGGCAUAUUGGUAAAUUAUACACAAUGCACAAUGUGUUUAUUGAGGUUUUA